UACGGAGGGUGCAAGCGUUGUUCGGAAUUACUGGGCGUAAAGCGCGCGUAGGCGGUUUUAUAAGUCAGAUGUGAAAGUCCACGGCUCAACCGUGGAAGUGCAUUUGAAACUGUGGAACUUGAGUACUGGAGGGGGUGGUGGAAUUCCCGGUGUAGAGGUGAAAUUCGUAGAUAUCGGGAGGAAUACCGGUGGCGAAGGCGACCACCUGGCCAGAUACUGACGCUGAGGUGCGAAAGCGUGGGGAGCAAACAGG
rnacentral:rRNA from 1 species